rnacentral:lncRNA from 1 species
UAAGGCCAGGAUAGCCCAGUGGUAAAGGAAUUGAGCUCAUGUGACAGAUGGCCUGUAUUUUUAUUCCUGCUUUGCCACUGGCUAACUGUUCUUAACUUUUCUGUAUUUCAGAUGACAUAAAAUCUGUAAAGCGGAGAGAAUCAUCACUGACUUUGAGGUUGUCGUGAGGCUGAGAUGAGCAGACCUAUGCAAAGUCCUCCCAGCAGUACUGGCAUAUGGCAAGCACUCAGUGAGGCAAAAUCAGUCUUGCAGGAAGAAUAAGAUAUGAAUUCCAUUAAGCAAAACGUGUUACCAGUCCUUCUCCAUGUCAGAUGACGCAUAGGCUGGGAUGCCUUGUUUCUGAUUCUGAAGAAGAGGAGAUAAGCGCUGUUAACAGGACUUGCUCAGCCUUUUCAAAGUGACCUCAAUGGACAAUGACCUCAGCACUGGGAAAGCUGGUCCUAGGAAAUGAAGGCAAAGUUGAAUAGAGAAAUGCCAGUCUUUCAGAAGCUACCAUCUCCACAAAGAUCGAGUAAAUGGGGUCCCAUUUUGGCCAACACAUUUCAACAGUCACAUGGAAUUUCUGAAUAGCAUCCAAAAAUGAUGAGAAGUGAAAAGUAGUUUUCCAUUUUUCAUGAGUAAAAGUUAAAAUAGAACAGAUCCAAGAGAGAACUUGUAUAUUGUCCCCAAUCGUUGAUAAGCAAUGAUUUUCCAUAUCCACUAACGUUAAAAGAAAAUGUGUUUUGCAGCAAAGUAAAAAAAUCUUUUUUGGAAGAACUUAUUUAUGAUCGUGGUGCUAGAAUA